UUAUCAUUAGAACUCGUCCAGUAUCAGUUGCAGCGAUAACCCAAAAUGUUCCAGAAAUUUUUUCUCUUUGCUUGCGUCUUGGCUGUGAUGGCCGUCGUCUGCACCAACUCGGCACCCACUGAAGAUGAACCCGCUAAUUCCGACGAGCCGGGAGACCAGUUCUUGUUCUACUGUCGCUGGUUCACUUCUUGCAGCAACAGCACCCAGUGCUCGAGCAAUGUGAUCUACAAGACCUGCAACGGUGGCCGUUGCUGUAGAGGUUAAACAU